UUCUUGUCAAAGAGCUGAACUCAAGAAAUGGGCCCAGUGAGUGGGCACCACUGUUUGUUCCUGGCAUGCUCCCUAGGGUCCUGGGGGGACUAAGUUCCUUCAGGUUGCCUAUGACUACCUGAGAGAUCCUGCACACUUGGCCCUACAGAAGACAGGGCCCUCCCACAGGGCUGAGGGACUGGCCUUCAGUUCCUAUGGGAAGAGCCCAAACAGUGCACCCCGAGGCGAGAAAAACAUCCCGAGGGCUCUCUGGAAAUCGCCAAAGCCCUGUGCUCCGCAGCGUCGGUGGAUAAAUAUGGUGUCAAUGGGAUUUUUUUUUAUGGUCACAUUUCUGGCGCUGCAGUGUUGGCACUGCCUUUGCAAACUUGCUGUGCACUUUUAAAGUUGCUUCUCCUGAUUUCAGCCAUCCUAAUUCUGAAAAGAAAUUCUGAAAAGUGCACAGCGCUUUUUUUCAGCCUGGGCACUAGAAUAAGACUCUGUCUGGGAAAGAAAGAAAAAAGUGACUUUUCAUUUUUUAAGAAAUAAAGUUUUUCCAGAGAUUGGCCACUGCCCUUGGAUUUCUAAUGAGCGAAGGCCUAGAAUGCAGGCCCGUGGACCUUCCACCUCGCCUCCCUCUCUCCACGGCCUCCUGCUUCUAAGGAUGAGCAAAUAAUCUCAGACUGAACCUUCUUUAAACACCAAGCAAGAAUCUCCAACGAGUCCUCAUUCCUCAUUCUUUCAUUCAUAGAAGGACUAUUUGUUGGGGGCCACCAUGUCCGAGGUGUCUGAUAUCUAUUCUAGAUACCGGGUGUACAGCAGCAAAACUAACAAAUAAGAAACACAACCAGACUAAAAUGCCUUCCCUCCUAGAGCUCACAUCCAGAAGGAGCGGACAAUCAAUCCACAAAAUAAAGAAAAGCAGACAAGCA
rnacentral:lncRNA from 10 species